AAAGGGUGCGUAGGCGGCUUGAUAAGUCAGUGGUGAAAGCCGAUCGCUUAACGAUCGAACUGCCAUUGAUACUGUCGGGCUUGAGUAUAGAUGAGGUAGGCGGAAUUGACAGUGUAGCGGUGAAAUGCAUAGAUAUUGUCAAGAACACCAAUUGCGAAGGCAGCUUACUAAGUUAUAACUGACGCUGAGGCACGAAAGUGCGGGGAUCAAACAGGAUUAGAUACCCUAGU
rnacentral:rRNA from 1 species